CUGUUUGCAUGUUGGUGGAUUGAAUUACAGCCGUUGAUUGUGUGUUGAGUCUCCAUCUCCGCUUUCGCUUCCGCUCUCGCUCCCGCUCCCGCUCCCGCUUCCGCUUGAACUCUGCCAUUACCUUCCCGAAACUUCACUCUCCAUGUACCUGCAACCCUCCUCCUUACUUGGCCUGCUACUGCCGGCAUUCCGAUUAACUUCAAUCCCACCUCCCAGUUCUCCACAAAGCAUUCAAAUCAGAAACCAUCAUUUUCUUCUUGCAUUCCUAUCUAGGCGAAAGAAUAUUUGUGCCAACUACAACUUAUGGAGAUCUACGCGGACAUUCGACAUCUACGGGCGAGAAGAAUGUGCAAGAGAAGCAGUUGGACUUAUUUCUCUGAACCAGAAGCAGAGAAAAUAUGCAAGCCUAGAAGAGGAUCAGGUGGAGAGGAAUAGAAAAAGGGUGCGAGCAGCGAGCUGCUUCAAAUGCAAAAAUCACGAUACAGGGACAAUUCCAAGUUAUAUUAUGUACUAUGGCCGUGACUGCAUUUAGCGUACGCUAGCCAAUGAGCAAAGUUCAGUUCUUGUCUAUCAUCAUGGUAGCUCUUCAGUUGUUUCUACAAGUCCUGUCGUCGAUCACCCUACCCGUUAACCUAUUGAUAACUUGGGGAAUCAAAGCAUGGGAGUAGAAUGAAAAUAUGAUAAUAAGUGCCAAUUUAACAAGAAAAGAGCCCAAAUAACAGAGCUUAUCCCAGGGGCAUUAUUGGCAAAGGAACACUUGAGCCCAUUUUCGUAAUUACCGCAAAGGCUAGGACGGCUGGAGGGCUUCUUCUUGCUGGUAGGAGCCGCCGCACAGGGAUCUUAGUUAGUAUUUAGAUAGAAUAAGAAUUGCAGAGGAGGACUAUCUCGGGAGAGUUUUUGCUCUCUGACUUUUCUUUUGUUAGUUUAGGAAUAGCUUCUCUUACGCAUGGCAGAGGAGCACUAGCUUAGCUUUUUGAAUUGUUGACUUUUCCUUAGUUUCUUGCAAGUGGAGUUCUCCUGCGGAUGGCAGGAGCAAUUAGGAAGACAUUAUUGUAUCACACUCUGCAACUUUGCUUUGCUUUAUAACUUUGACCGAAUUGAA